GCCCGGAUGGCGGAACUGGCAGACGCACGGGACUCAAAAUCCCGCGAGGGCAACCUCAUGUGGGUUCGAUCCCCACUCUGGGCA
rnacentral:tRNA from 2 species